UACAGGGGGGGCAAGCGUUGUUCGGAAUUACUGGGCGUAAAGGGCUCGUAGGCGGCCAACUAAGUCAGACGUGAAAUCCCUCGGCUUAACCGGGGAACUGCAUCUGAUACUGGAUGGCUUGAGUUCGGGAGAGGGAUGCGGAAUUCCAGGUGUAGCGGUGAAAUGCGUAGAGAUCUGGAAGAACACCAAUGGCGAAGGCAGCAUCCUGGGAAGUACCUGACGCUCAGGUGCGAAAGCCAGGGGAGCGAACGGG
rnacentral:rRNA from 1 species